rnacentral:rRNA from 1 species
AGUGAACGCUGGCGGUAGGCCUAACACAUGCAAGUCGAACGGCAGCACAGGAGAGCUUGCUCUCUGGGUGGCGAGUGGCGGACGGGUGAGGAAUACAUCGGAAUCUACUCUGUCGUGGGGGAUAACGUAGGGAAACUUACGCUAAUACCGCAUACGACCUACGGGUGAAAGCAGGGGACCUUCGGCCCUUGCGCGAUUGAAUGAGCCGAUGUCGGAUUAGCUAGUUGGCGGGGUAAAGGCCCACCAAGGCGACGAUCCGUAGCUGGUCUGAGAGGGUGAUCAGCCACACUGGAACUGGGACACGGUCCAGACUCCUACGGGAGGCAGCAGUGGGGAAUAUUGGACACUGGGCGCAAGCCUGAUCCAGCCAUACCGGGUGGGUGAAGAAGGCCUUCGGGUUGUAAAGCCCUUUUGUUGGGAAAGAAAUCCAGCUGGCUAAUACCCGGUUGGGAUGACGGUACCCAAAGAAUAAGCACCGGCUAACUUCGUGCCAGCCGCCGCCGUAA